rnacentral:rRNA from 1 species
CCUACGGGAGGCAGCAGUGGGGAAUAUUGCACAAUGGGGGAAACCCUGAUGCAGCGACGCCGCGUGAGUGAAGAAGUAUUUCGGUAUGUAAAGCUCUAUCAGCAGGGAAGAAGAAAGACGGUACCUGACUAAGAAGCCCCGGCUAACUACGUGCCAGCAGCCGCGGUAAUACGUAGGGGGCAAGCGUUAUCCGGAUUUACUGGGUGUAAAGGGAGCGUAGACGGCUGUGCAAGUCUGAAGUGAAAGCCCGUGGCUCAACCGCGGAACUGCUUUGGAAACUGUAUAGCUUGAGUGUCGGAGAGGUAAUCGGAAUUCCUAGUGUAGCGGUGAAAUGCGUAGAUAUUAGGAAGAACACCAGUGGCGAAGGCGGAUUACUGGACGAUAACUGACGGUGAGGCGCGAAAGCGUGGGGAGCAAACAGGAUUAGAUACCCUAGUAGUC